rnacentral:rRNA from 1 species
UACGUAGGCAGCAAGCGUUGUUCGGAAUUACUGGGCGUAAAGAGUGUGUAGGCGGUGCUCCAAGUCUGGUGUGAAAUCUCCCGGCUUAACUGGGAGGGUGCAUUAGAAACUGGAAUGCUAGAGGAUGGGAGAGGUAAGCGGAAUUCCUGGUGUAGCGGUGAAAUGCGUAGAUAUCCGGAAGAACACCAGUGGCGAAGGCGGCCCGCUGGGCAGUGGCUGACGCUGAGGCGCGACAGCGUGGGGGAGCAAACAGG